rnacentral:rRNA from 1 species
CCUACGGGAGACAGCAGUGAGGAAUAUUGGUCAAUGGCCGGAAGGCUGAACCAGCCAUGCCGCGUGAAGGUCAGUGCCCUAUGGGCGUUAAACUUCUUUUGUGCGGGAGCAAUAAUGGUCACGUGUGGCCAGACGAGAGUACCGUACGAAUAAGCAUCGGCUAACUCCGUGCCAGCAGCCGCGGUAAUACGGGGGAUGCAAGCGUUAUCCGGAUUUAUUGGGUUUAAAGGGUGCGUAGGCUGGGAGGUAAGUCAGCGGUGAAAUGCCCCCGCUCAACGGGGUGAAGUGCCAUUGAUACUGGCUGGCUGGAAUGCGGAUGCCGUAGGAGGAAUGUGUGGUGUAGCGGUGAAAUGCAUAGAUAUCACACAGAACACCGAUUGCGAAGGCAUCUCACGAAGCCGCGAUUGACGCUGAUGCACGAAAGCGUGGGUAUCAAACAGGAUUAGAUACCCCUGUAGUC